rnacentral:rRNA from 1 species
GGAUUAGAUACCCUGGUAGUCCACGCCGUAAACGAUGAGAACUAGAUGUUGGGCAGCUAAGACUGCUUAGUGUCGAAGCUAACGCGUUAAGUUCUCCGCCUGGGGAGUACGGUCGCAAGAUUAAAACUCAAAGGAAUUGACGGGGGCCCGCACAAGCGGUGGAGCAUGUGGUUUAAUUCGAUGCUACGCGAAAAACCUUACCUACUCUUGACAUCCUGGGAAUCCCUCGUAAUAAAGGGAGUGCCUUCGGGAAUCCAGUGACAGGUGCUGCAUGGCUGUCGUCAGCUCGUGCCG